CCCUUAGAUGUCCUGGGCCGCACGCGCGCUACACUGACGGAGGCAGCGAGCUUACCCCUUUGCCGAAAGGCAUGGGAAAUCUUUUGAAUCUCCGUCGUGCUGGGGAUAGAUCAUUGCAAUUAUUGAUCUUGAACGAGGAAUUCCUAGUAAGCGCAAGUCAUCAACUUGCGUUGAUUACGUCCCUGCCCUUUGUACACACCGCCCGUCGCUACUACCGAUUGAAUGGUUUAGUGAGAUCUUCGGAUUGGCGCCACUGCGGCUCAGCAAUGGGCUCGGUGGAUGCCGAAAAGUUGAUCAAACUUGAUCAUUUAGAGGAAGUAAAAGUCGUAACA
rnacentral:rRNA from 1 species